rnacentral:rRNA from 1 species
CCUACGUGAGGCAGCAGUGGGGAAUAUUGGGCAAUGGGCGCAAGCCUGACCCAGCAACGCCGCGUGAAGGAAGAAGGCUUUCGGGUUGUAAACUUCUUUUCUCAGGGACGAAGAAAGUGACGGUACCUGAGGAAUAAGCCACGGCUAACUACGUUCCAGCAGCCGCGGUAAUACGUAGGUGGCAAGCGUUAUCAGGAUUUACUGGGUGUAAAGGGCGUGUAGGCGGGAAAGCAAGUCAGAUGUGAAAACCAUGGGCUCAACCUGUGGCCUGCAUUUGAAACUGUUUUUCUUGAGUACUGGAGAGGCAGACGGGAUUCCUCGUGUAGCGGUGAAAUGCGUAGAUAUGAGGAGGAACACCAGUGGCGAAGGCGGUCUGCUGGACAGCAACUGACGCUGAGGCGCGAAAGCGUGGGGAGCAAACAGGAUUAGAUACCCGGGUAGUC